rnacentral:rRNA from 1 species
UACGUAGGGUGCGAGCGUUAAUCGGAAUUACUGGGCGUAAAGCGUGCGCAGGCGGUUUUGUAAGCCAGAUGUGAAAGCCCCGGGCUCAACCUGGGAAUGGCAUUUGGGACUGCAAGGCUUGAGUGCGGCAGAGGAGACUGGAAUUCCUGGUGUAGCAGUGAAAUGCGUAGAUAUCAAGAGGAACACCUGCGGCGAAGGCGGGUUGCUGGGCCGACACUGACGCUGAUGCGCGAAAGCCAGGGGAGCGAACGGG